rnacentral:rRNA from 1 species
CCUACGGGAGGCAGCAGUGAGGAAUAUUGGUCAAUGGACGAGAGUCUGAACCAGCCAAGUAGCGUGAAGGAUGACUGCCCUAUGGGUUGUAAGCUUCUUUUAUAAAGGAAUAAAACGAGGCACGUGUGCCUUUUUGCAUGUACUUUAUGAAUAAGGAUCGGCUAACUCCGUGCCAGCAGCCGCGGUAAUACGGAGGGUCCGAGCGUUAUCCGGCGUUCUUGGGGUUAAAGGGAGCGUAGAUGGGUUGUUAAGUCAGUUGUGAAAGUUUGCGGGUCAACCGUAAAAUUGCAAUUGAUACUGGCAGUCUUGAGUACAGUAGAGGUAAGCGGAAUUCGUGGUGUAGCGGUGAAAUGCUUAGAUAUCACGAAGAACCCCGAUUGCGAAGGCAGCUUACUAAACUGUGACUGACAUUGAUGCUCGAGAGUGUGGGUAUCAAACAGGAUUAGAUACCCCAGUAGUC